rnacentral:antisense_RNA from 20 species
UACCAACAACAACUUUUUUAUUUUCAUAUUUACUCUUAUGAGUAAAUACUCCUUUCCCCACUCAUUCAUUUGAGUGGGGUUUUUCU